rnacentral:lncRNA from 1 species
AUUAGUAUAUAAAUUAUAAAUAAAUAAAAGUUAUUUUGAUAUUUUUCAUCACAAAUUGUUUCAUCUUCUAAUGAACUUCUGUGUUGUGGUGAAGUCUUUAGGACUAUUUAGACUCGACAAAGGAGGAUUUAUCGUUUAGUCCUUAAACCUGUUUGCGACCAAAUGAUACAUUGUUACCAAGGACAACAACGUUUAUCAAGCAUAGGUUGUUGUGUGCCAUAUGGGUUGGUUGUCCUCUUAACCAAGGAGUGUGGAGACACUGAUAUGGCA